CGAAACGUCUGAGAAACAAACAAAAACAGCCAAAACUUUCAACAACGGAUCUCUUGGCUCUGGCAUCGAUGAAGAACGCAGCGAAAUGCGAUACGUAAUGCGAAUUGCAGAAUUCAGCGAGUCAUCGAAUCUUUGAACGCACAUUGCGCCCGCCAGCAUUCUGGCGGGCAUGCCUGUCCGAGCGUCAUUUCCCCCCUCAGCA
rnacentral:rRNA from 1 species